rnacentral:rRNA from 1 species
CGGGGUGCCCAGGCGCGAAAACUUUACAAUGCUGGCAACAGCGAUAAGGGGACCUCGAGUGCCAGGAUACAAUCUUGGCUGUCGCGAUGCCUAAAAAGCAUUGCAUAGCAAGGGCCGGGCAAGACCGGUGCCAGCCGCCGCGGUAACACCGGCGGCUCGAGUGGUAACCGCUAUUAUUGGGUCUAAAGGGUCUGUAGCCGGCCGGAUAAGUCUUUUGGGAAAUCCAGCUGCUCAACAGUUGGGCUUUCAGAAGAUACUGUUCGGCUCGAGACCGGGAGAGGUGAGAGGUACUUCAGGGGUAGGGGUGAAAUCUUGUAAUCCUUGAAGGACCACCAGUGGCGAAGGCGUCUCACCAGAACGGAUCUGACGGCAAGGGACGAAAGCUAGGGGCACGAACCGGAUUAGAUACCCGGGUAGUCCUAGCCGUAAACGAUACUCGCUAGGUGUCAGCCACGGUGCGACCGUGGUUGGUGCCGUAGGGAAGCCGUGAAGCGAGCCACCUGGGAAGUACGGCCGCAAGGCUGAAACUUAAAGGAAUUGGCGGGGGAGCAC